rnacentral:lncRNA from 1 species
GAUACACAGAGAGAGAGAAAGAGAUAAAGAGAGAGAGAGAUACAGAAAGAGAGAGAGAGCGAUACAGAGGAGAGCGAUACAGAAAGAGAGAGAUACACAGAGAGAGAUACACACAGAGAGAGAUACAGAGAGAGAGAUACAAGAAGAGAGAGAUACACAGAGAGAGAGAUACACAGAGAGAGAGAGAGAGAGAUACAGAGAGAGAGAGCGGUACACAGAGCGAGAGGUACACAGAGAGAGAUACAGAGAGAGAUAAACAGAGAGAGAGAUAUACAGAGAGAUACAGAGAGAAAGAGAGAUACAGAGAGAGAGUUACAGAGAGAGAGAUACAGAGAGCGAGAGCUAUACAGAGAGCAAGAGAAAUACACAGAGAGAGAGAUACACAGAGACAGAGAGUUACAGAGAGAGAGAGAUACACACAGAGAGAGAUACAGAGAGAGAGAGAGAGAGAGAGAUACAGAGAGAGAGAUACAGAGAGAGAGAGUUACACAGAGAGAGAGAUACACAGAGAGAGAGAUAGAGAAACACAGAGAGAGAGAUACAGAGAGAAAGAGAGAUACAGAGAGAGAGAGAUAGAGAAACACAGAGAGAGAGAUACAGAGAGAAAGAGAGAUACACAGAGAGAGAGAGAUACACACAGAGAGAGAUACAGAGAGAGAGAGAGAGAUACAGAGAGUUUCUGUUAGGUUUUUAUUGUUUUAUUUUUC